rnacentral:lncRNA from 1 species
GAGGAUUGUGUGCGGUAUUCGAUGUCAGCGCCGUGCCAUUUUGAGCUACAAGUGGAAUCUAAGGAUUCCGGUUUAAAGUGUUGAUAUUAAGGGUACCUUAUGUAUGCUUACCAAAUUUGGGGUCAUUUGGAGUCCGUUUGGAUAGGGGCUUGACUUGGCCAAAGUCCAGUGGCAUUGUCGUAAUUUGUUGAUUGGUCCG